rnacentral:misc_RNA from 1 species
GAUGAAGAACGUAGCGAAAUGCGAUAAGUAAUGUGAAUUGCAGAAUUCCGUGAAUCAUCGAAUCUUUGAACGCACAUUGCGCCCUCUGGUAUUCCGGGGGGCAUGCCUGUCCGAGCGUCAUUUGCAACCCUCAAGCCCGGCUUGUGUGAUGGGUGCCGUCCCCUACGGGACGCGCCCCAAAGGCAAUGGCGGCGUCGCGGUUAUCCGAUCAGCCAAAGUGUAUGGGGCUUUGUCACUCACUUUACGGCCCGGACCGGCGCCAGUCCGAAUCAAUCUUUUUUCUAAAGUUGACCUCGGAUCAGGUAGGGAUACCCGCUGAACUUAAGCAUAUCAAUAAGCGGAGGA